UUUACGAUCUGCCAUUUACCCUUUCUUCAAACCUCGUCUUCUAUUCUAUCAGCGAAUCUCUAAUUUUCUGUCUUCCUCUGUGUGCCUUAGUGAUUUGCAGGAAUCUGGUACCCUUUACAUGGAUCAAACUCAGAAUGUUUCAGUGGUCAAACUGUUACAUCGAGCCAAGAAUCUGUCGAUUUUGGGUAAUUUUUCCAACAAGUGGGAUUGAAUGUGGAUGCUGAGAUUGCAGUUGAAAAGGAUAAAGGAGAGUGCGAGGAGCUGAGUAAGGAGUCCUCCAAGGUGGCGGUGAGGAAUGUGAAGGAUAAAUGUUGUGAUCAGACUGCGGUGAGUGUGUCUGAAGGUGUCAGUGGAGGAACUGGAAUCAACAGUGCAUUGGGAACUCUGAGGAACAAACUGGAGCUGAAAAUGUUGAAGAAAGUUAUGGUCAACAGGAAGCCUACGACUGCAAAAGAGCUUUUGGAAACAGGUAUUCUUGAUGGAGUGACCGUGGCUACAUGAGCAGCAUUAUUACUAAGGUUGUUUUUCACAUGCCCUGGGUGAAUGAAGAAGAUUACAUAUUGGAAAAGAUAUAAUUAAGAAGUAUCUAAUUAUAAGAUUGUAAUUGAACUAUCAAUUUUAGUGUGAAAUGCUAGCAUGUAUUAUACAUAGAAAAUAAAUCCAAUUGUUAGCGGGGAAUAUUAGCAUGAGUUUAACAUGGACACUACCAUGUUAUAAUGUACUUUUACAUAUCAAAAAAAGACUAAUUGAAUAAUGUAGAAUAGAACUUAUUGUGUGUAAUUGAGUUAUGAGGAGAAAUUAAGAUUUAAUACCCUCUUUACAGAUAACACUUUGGAGGACUUGUUACCUGCAGGCAGGUAGAGUGAGACAUUUAUCAAUUUAGUCGUAUAGUAACAGAUAUAGUUAGAAAGCUAUGCUCUGGUCACUAUCUCCUUCAUGUAAGAAUUCGGGAUCUGAAGGAUAUUUCAUGAUUAUCCUUCUAGCUGGAGCUAGGUGCUCAGUUUCCAAAGGAGUUCGGAUUAAGAGGAGUAAUCAGAGAUGGCGGAAUAUUGUGUUCUAGCUGUCUAUGUAAUGGACGCAGGACAAGUUAGGAUUCUGUCUUUUCAUAGCAGUUUGUUUCUAUGGAGAGCUGUGCAGUAUAUUUUGUCUUGAAAAUGGGAAUAUUUUACUUGAUCUGUUGAGAGCAUGUAGGGGAGCUACCCUACAUAAUUUGGAGAGAUAGUUGAAAAUUUUGUUUGUUCUCCACUUGAAGAAAGAUACUUUACCUGCAAAAGCUACAAAGGAUGUUUGAUGUUCCUUUUCCUUUCUUCCUUUGUGGAAAGAGUGGGGUCCAUUUGCUGAUCUUGUGUGGAAUCAAAGAGCUCUGAAGAAAGUUCAAAUAGCUUGGUUGGCAAAAGAGUUAGGUUGUCACAAAGGAUGAGCCGUUCAAAUACUUCCAAGAAUGCCUCUGGCUGUUCCACCCCGCAAGAAAAAUUUGUUGAAGAUGAAAAAGAAGUUCGUAUCUACCUAUCUUUUGUCAAUCUUGAUGUAGUUAGGAUAAUAUGGUUGUCAGUGAACUGUUUACAGCCAAAUAAUCUUUUCCAGCUGAAUUCUAAUCAACUUCGAUUACUAGUCCCUGGAAAAAUAUCAAAUUCAAAAUAUAACAAGUCAAUAGAAGAUAACUAAGAAGUUAGUUCCCUACAUCCCUUCACUAAUACGUAUUUAUCUAGGCGUCAAUGUUCCGAUCCCAAGACAUCGUUAGAAUUAAUCAUUAUGUAUCUGAGUCUGUCACGGUUUUGUCCUUAAAAGGUGUUUUGAAUAAUGGAAGGUAUUUAAAUCGUCUUAGACCUCGACUUCUAAGCGAUGUGAGACUAUUAGAUGCUAUAGGAAGUUAGUUGUUGAUGAAAAUGGACAGCAUGAUGUAACUGAAGUAGCUUAUUAUAAUAUCUUUCAAAAUUGUAUUAA